AAGGAGUGUGUAACAACUCACCUGCCGAAUGGACUAGCCCUGAAAAUGGAUGGCGCUGAAGCGAGUGACUUAUACUCAACCAUCGCGGCAAGUGCGACGCCGCGAUGAGUAGGAGGGCGUGGAGGUCGUGGCGCAUCCCGCGGCGUGAGCCGGGGUGAAACGGCCUCUAGUGCAGAUCUUGGUGGUAGUAGCAAUUAUUCAAAUGAGAACUUUGAAGACUGAAGUGGAGAAGGGUUUCAUGUGAACAGUGCUUGGACAUGGGUUAGCCGGUCAUAAGAGAUAGGUAUGUUUUGCGCAUGCAGGCUUUGCUUCGUUCCUUGACAAGGAAUGGGGUUAAUAUCCCCCAGCCAGGACGUGGAUAUUGCAUGGUAACAUAAUGUAGGUUGGUGAUGCAAUGGGAAGCCUUGGUAAGCGUUGUCUUUUCUGUUUAAUUGUUUAUUACCCUGAAAUCAGAUUGCCUGGAGAUAGGGUUGAAUGGCAAGCAAAGCACCUUGUCUUCUGAGGUGUCUGGUGUGCUUUCAGUUGCCCUUGAAAAACCAAAUGAUUGUUUUAUUCUCUCCCCUGGUCGUGCCCAUAUCCGCAUCAGGUCUCCAAGGUUUGUAGCCUCUGGUCUUUGGAACAAAGUAGGUAAGGGAAGUCGGCAAAAUAGAUC
rnacentral:rRNA from 1 species